rnacentral:rRNA from 1 species
UACGUAGGGGGCAAGCGUUGUCCGGAAUCAUUGGGCGUAAAGCGCGUGUAGGCGGCCCGAUAAGUCCGCUGUGAAAGUCCAGGGCUCAACCCUGGGAUGCCGGUGGAUACUGUCGGGCUCGAGUCCGGAAGAGGCGAGUGGAAUUCCUGGUGUAGCGGUGAAAUGCGUAGAUAUCUGGAGGAACACCGGUGGCGAAGGCGGCAUCCUGGACCGGUAUUGACGCUGAUGCGCGAAAGCCAGGGGAGCAAACGGG